rnacentral:rRNA from 14 species
GGAUGUUUUCCUAUGGGGGUAGAGCACUGGAUGGGCUAGGGGGUCGCGAGACCUACCAAACCUAACCAAACUCCGAAUACCAUAGAGACAAGUCCGGGAGACAGACGGCGGGUGCUAAGGUCCGUCGUCAAAAGGGAAACAGCCCUAACCUACAGCUAAGGUCCCCAAGUCAUAUCUAAGUGGGAAAGCAUGUGGGAAUCCCAAAACAACCAGGAGGUUGGCUUAGAAGCAGCCAUCCUUUAAAGAAAGCGUAAUAGCUCACUGGUCGAGUCGGUCUGCGCGGAAGAUGUAACGGGGCUAAACUAUGCACCGAAGCUGCGGAUUCAUACUUUGUAUGAGUGGUAGGGGAGCGUUCUGUAAGCGGUUGAAGGUGUACCGGGAGGUAUGCUGGACGUAUCAGAAGUGCGAAUGCUGACAUGAGUAACGAUAAUGCGGGUGAAAAACCCGCACGCCGGAAGACCAAGGGUUCCUAUCCCAUGUUAAUCAGGGUAGGGUAAGUCGACCCCUAAGGCGAGGCCGAAAGGCGUAGUCGAUGGGAAACGGAUUAAUAUUUCCGUACUUGGUAUAAUUGCGAUGGGGGGACGGAGAAGGCUAAGCAAGCAUGGCGAUGGUUGUCCAUGUGAAAGUGAGUAGGGCGUUUGUUUAGGUAAAUCCGGACGAACAUUAAACCUGAGACACGAGACGAGCUACUACGGUAGUGAAGUUGCUGAUGCCAUACUUCCAGGAAAAGCCUCUAAGCUUCAGAUUAUACCGAAUCGUACCCCAAACCGACACAGGUGGUCAGGUAGAGAAUACCAAGGCGCUUGAGAGAACUGCGUUGAAGGAACUCGGCAAAUUGCACGCGUAACUUCGGAAGAAGCGUGACCCUCACUCACGCAAGUGGAUGAGGGUGGCACAGACCAGGGGGUAGCGACUGUUUACUAAAAACACAGGGCUCUGCGAAGUGGUGAACACGACGUAUAGGGUCUGACGCCUGCCCGGUGCUGGAAGGUUAAGGGGAGCGGUGAGAGCUGCGAAUUGAAGCCCCAGUAAACGGCGGCCGUAACAAUAA